GGACUCGCCAGCGAGGGAUGCCGCCGGCCGCCGGGGGCCUUCUCCAGGACCAGGAGAGAAAUCCUCUCUCCGCUUCACGACGCGGCCACUCCCACCCCUGAGACGCCCACCUGGCGGACUCUGAGGGAGGAUUCGGCUGCGUCUAAUACCACCUCCACCCCUCAUCCCUCACAAUGCGCGGAAAACCACAGGCGGCUGUGCGCGCAGCGUCGGCUCAGCCACCGCAGCUCCUCCCCUGGGAUGAAAAAGCACUCUGACGUCUUGAAAGCUGGCAGCUCUCUGUUUGGAAAAUCUCUGCCCAGUGAAAAAAUGUACCGACAAGAUUACUAAGUAACACAGUCUUCUGGGAAUGCCUUAUCAAUGCCAGCUAUUUGAAGAGCACCCAAAGUCAAACUAGUGCUCCGCGCUGGCAGUCUGGAAAAGGCAGAUGUAUGUGAGUAGAGAAACUGAUAGACAACUAGUUGCUGGCCAGUUGGCCUGUUUUCGUGCUACAAGCCUUCAGAAAACAGUCGCCUCCUUUUACCACGUUUCUAUUUCUAAACCAAAAUGAAAAGGACGUUUGUUCAAAAGAUGAAACCAAAAAGGAUGGAGUUCAGAGACCUUCCAUGUUGAUGAACAAGAACACAUUCACCUGCUGUAGGGGUAGGUGUACCCCAAAACUCCACUGAUACAGAAGCUUCUAUACUCAAGACCCUUCUAUACUCAAGACCCUGGAUCUUACCCUAUAUAUCUCUUCAUCUGGCUAUUUAUUUGCAUCUUUUAAUAUAUCCUUUGUAAUAAACUAGUAAUCUAGAAAGCAAACUUUUCCUAGCUCUGUAGGCCAUUCUAGUAAAUGAUUAAACCUGAGGAGGAGUUAUGGGAACCUUUGAUUUGUAGACAAGUUGGACAAAAGUGGUAUAUAUCCUAAUAUAACAUGGGAACCUGCCACUUAUGAUUGGCGUGUGAAAUUGGGGGAUGGGGAAGCAGUCUUGUGGGACUGAGCCCUUAGCCUGUGGGGUCUAAUGCUAUCUUCAGGUAAUAUCAGAACUGAGUUAAAUUAUAGGAUACCAGUCAGUGUCCAUUGGAGAACUGAAUUAUUGUGAGGAGAAACCCACACAUUUGGUGGCUAAAAGUAUUGAUGUGAGUAGUAGCAUAUAGGGAUUUCAGUCAGUAAUGGAUAUUACCACCAGCAUUUAAUCAAGGAAGCAGGAAGUGAUCCAUCACUGCUAGCUGCUAUCUACAGGAAUUCUGUCUACAGGCAGGGCAGACCAGUCAGCCAGUAUCUUCCCGAAGUACCUUGGUCUUCCACCAUCCAUCCCACUGAGAGAGCCGUUCCUCUAAUGAGGCAUUUCUAAGCAGCUGUCCAUUGAACUCUACCCCUUGAGAUAUCCUGAGAAAUAGGAAUCUAUGGUUCCUAUUGUUUGGAAAGUAGUAUAUCUUCCUUGAAGAUUCACAAUGCGUAUUAAUAUGCUUAGGGCUCUGAUAAGUCCUGUAUUAAAAAUGCUUGUUAAACUUGAUGAGAAAACUGAGCUGUAGAAAGGUUGCCUGACUUGUCUAAGAUAACACAGCUGGGAAGUUGAGGAGGCAGGUCUGACUGGUAUAAAAAACUCCAGCCCAGUGACUUCCAUACUACAAAAUGGACAAAAGAGAUCAGGGGCAUGGGAUCCAGACCGGUAUCGUGUGUUAAACAGGAAAUGGAGAAACAGGCACCAAGAAGAAAGGAGAGAGAUGAGGCGUUCUAUGAACAUCUGUCCCUGAUGAAUUCCAAGGAAAGACGGGCCCACUCAUGAGAGAUCUACUACCCCCCGCAACCCAUGUAUUCUAGGAUCCACGCAGCUCUUUUCAGAAGUUUCAUCAGUUAUACCUGCUUCCCUGAGAGCUGAAUGUUCUGACUAAAGGCAAGUUUUGCUCUCCUAUAGCCACAAUGUGGGCAUUCAUUAGCUAUGCCAAUCAGUUGCUCAGACUCGGACUUUGAACCGGGGCUAACAUUACAAAGAAGUGGAAGCCAUGAAGAAUCUAUUCUGUGGGAGGCCUAGGGUCACAACAGCAGCAACAUCAAGUUUUCAAGAACAGAAGCAGUGCUCUGAGCUCGCCUCAAAGGAAUAUUGCUUCAGGGAACUCCUCAGCAUCCACCACAGGCUGUAGGAAGAGGUCAGACCAUAAAGUAUAACCAAAAUGACAUAAAAUGAAGCCAGGACCUUAAAGAUUUCUGCCAAGGAAUAGACACACUGGUAGCGCUUAUAUCCUGUAAAAGCCUGCACAUCAACUGAACAGUCGAUUUCAAGAGUGAUGGAUAUACUCUAUAAAUGAUGUCCUUCUGCUCCACAUGCAUGCGGAAUCUUUUCACUUUUUCAAAGAUGGCUUUGGCCUGUUCACCCUCCUUCUUGUCCAGGACACUGGAAGUUGGGCUUUCUAUGCCAGCUGACUCCAAACCUGGCUGUGGGUAGGGCAAUGACUGUUUGCCGGAAUCUAUGUC
rnacentral:lncRNA from 1 species